GACGAACGCUGGCGGCGUGCUUAACACAUGCAAGUCAAACGGAAAGGCCCUGCUUUUGUGGGGUGCUCGAGUGGCGAACGGGUGAGAAACACGUGAGUAACCUGCCCUUGACUUUGGGAUAACUUCAGGAAACUGGGGCUAAUACCGGAUAGGAGCUCCUGCUGCAUGGUGGGGGUUGGAAAGUUUCGGCGGUUGGGGAUGGACUCGCGGCUUAUCAGCUUGUUGGUGGGGUAGUGGCUUACCAAGGCUUUGACGGGUAGCCGGCCUGAGAGGGUGACCGGCCACAUUGGGACUGAGAUACGGCCCAGACUCCUACGGGAGGCAGCAGUGGGGAAUAUUGCACAAUGGGCGGAAGCCUGAUGCAGCAACGCCGCGUGCGGGAUGACGGCCUUCGGGUUGUAAACCGCUUUCGCCUGUGACGAAGCGUGAGUGACGGUAAUGGGUAAAGAAGCACCGGCUAACUACGUG
rnacentral:rRNA from 1 species